AUACGUAGGUGGCGAGCGUUGUCCGGAUUUACUGGGCGUAAAGGGUGCGUAGGCGGAUGUUUAAGUGGGAUGUGAAAUCCCCGGGCUUAACCUGGGGGCUGCAUUCCAAACUGGAUAUCUAGAGUGCAGGAGAGGAAAGCGGAAUUCCUAGUGUAGCGGUGAAAUGCGUAGAGAUUAGGAAGAACACCAGUGGCGAAGGCGGCUUUCUGGACUGUAACUGACGCUGAGGCACGAAAGCGUGGGUAGCAAACAGGAUUAGAUACCCUGGUAGUCCACGCCGUAAACGAUGGAUACUAGGUGUAGGGGGUAUCAACUCCCUCUGUGCCGCAGUUAACACAAUAAGUAUCCCGCCUGGGGAGUACGGUCGCAAGAUUAAA
rnacentral:rRNA from 1 species